GCAUGCAGGUGAGAAGGGAAGAUACAUGUAAUCUGCAUGUCUGCCACCAUUCCUUGUUACCCUUUUUCAUAUCCCAUGAGCACAGCACUCCAGCGGACCUACCCAAAAUAUGUGGGAGUUCAGUGAAACUCAAACAGCAUGCUUCUGGUCAGCCUAUACAGUCUCUGUCCUGGUGAGGAGCAUGAUCACCAACAGGCAAGAUCUUCUGGCCUUGAAGUUUCGCUUGAGUUAAAAGAGCUCAUCUCAGGACUUUCUGAAUUUUCAGCCCAUAUGACAUGGAAGAAGAGUUAGAAGGGGAAUCUGACUGCUUGGAUCAGGGACUGUCUGGCUGGUGGAACUUGAAUAGAUGUACAGUGCGCCACUCUGAGGAUCAAGUCUGACCCUGCCUUUAAAUUUGGAUUCAAAGUACUUAGAUUUUCUGGAAUCCCAUUCUACAAUCUUCUGGUCGAAAGUAUAAAACCAGCAUUGGCCAGCUUGAGAAAUAAAGGGACAGAGUACAAAAGAGAGAAAUUUUAAAGCUGAGCAUCUGGGGGAGACAUCACAUGUCGUCUGCAGGUGUACCCAACAGCUCCGAAGAGACAGUGACAUCGAGAACGGGCCAUGAUGACGAUGGCGGUUUUGU
rnacentral:lncRNA from 1 species